rnacentral:sRNA from 1 species
GUAGUUUCAGAGCUUGAAGAAUUUUCAUCGAUAUGGAGAGAAAAACAACAUUAGGGUUUAUGCUGCUUCUCAUGGUAAUCUUUGCUUCUGAUGUGGCCGUGAAGAGAACAGAUGCCACAAUAUGUACAGUGCCGAGCAAGACGUUCAAGUAUGAAUGCUUCAGCGAUCCCAGUUGUGACAGUGUAUGUAAAACCGAAGGUUAUACCAGCGGCAAGUGCGAAGGUGUCCUU